rnacentral:rRNA from 1 species
GACGAACGCUGGCGGCGUGCUUAACACAUGCAAGUCGAACGGAAAGGCACUGCUUUUGUGGGGUGCUGGAGUGGCGAACGGGUGAGUAACACGUGAGUAACCUGCCCUUGACUUUGGGAUAACUUCAGGAAACUGGGGCUAAUACCGGAUCGGAGCUCCUGUUGCAUGGUGGGGGUUGGAACGUUUCGGCGGUUGGGGAUGGACUAGCGGCUGAUCAGCUUGUUGGUGGGGUAGUGGCUUACCAAGGCUUGGACGGGUAGCCGGCCUGAGAGGGUGACCGGCUACAUUGGGAUUGGGGAGCGGCCAGGACUCAUUCGGGGGGAAGGAGUGGGGAAUAUGGCACAACGUGCGGAGGCGGGAUACAGCAACGCCGGGUGCGGGAUGACUGCCUUCGGGUAGGAAACGGCUUUCGCUAGUGACGAAGCGUGAUGGACGUUAAUGGAGAAAGAAGCACCGGCAAACUACGU